rnacentral:tRNA from 1 species
GUUCCAUUGUUGUCCAGCGGUUAGGAUAUCUGGCUUUCACCCAGGAGACCCGGGUUCGAUUCCCGGCAAUGGAAC